UAGGGACGAGUGAUUUCGAAGGACAGCGGAGGGAGAUUAGAGAGUUUGCAGGGCCGAACCCAUGUGAACUUAUCUCUUUGUUGCCUCGGCGCAAGCUACCCGGGACCUCGCGCCCCGGGCGGCCCGCCGGCGGACAAACCAAAACUCUUGUUAUCUUAGUUGAUUAUCUGAGUGUCUUAUUUAAUAAGUCAAAACUUUCAACAACGGAUCUCUUGGUUCUGGCAUCGAUGAAGAACGCAGCGAAAUGCGAUAAGUAAUGUGAAUUGCAGAAUUCAGUGAAUCAUCGAAUCUUUGAACGCACAUUGCGCCCAUUAGUAUUCUAGUGGGCAUGCCUGUUCGAGCGUCAUUUCAACCCCUAAGCACAGCUUAUUGUUGGGAACCUACGGCUUCGUAGUUCCUCAAAGACAUUGGCGGAGUGGCAGUGGUCCUCUGAGCGUAGUAAUCUUUUAUCUCGCUUCUGUUAGGUGCUGCCCCCCCGGCCGUAAAACCCCCAAUUUUUUCUGGUUGACCUCGGAUCAGGUAGGAAUACCCGCUGAACUUAAGAAUAUCAAAA
rnacentral:rRNA from 1 species